rnacentral:lncRNA from 1 species
UUUGGUCUAUCCUUUGGAUGAAUCUACAGGGAAAGUGAGGAUUUUGAGAUGAAUCUAUUUCUGAAUUUGGAUUUUAGGAGUUAAAGAGAGGAUUUUGAUGAAUGGAUUUUGAAAGCGUAAUUCUAACAACACCUAGGUGAAGAAAAACAUUGAGAUUAACAUACCUCUCUGAAUAAUCAGAAGACAUGCAACAACAAUCUCCCUUUUUUAAGAACGUCUACAAUCAAGAAUCGGCUUGUUUCACAAAAACCUAGCUUCGUUUGGACAUCAUCUUCGAAUCGACCAUAAAAUAAAUUUUAGAAUUUGGGGAUUUUGGUCUAUCCUUGGGAUGAAUCUACAGGGAAAGUGAGGAUUUUGAGAUGAAUCUAUUUCUGAAUUUGGAUUUUAGGAGUUAAAGAGAGGAUUUUGAGGAAUGGAUUUUGAGAUGAAUUUGGAGAUGGUCUCGUUCUAGCGUGCAGGUG